CACUCACUUCUCUAAAGCCCUUAUAGGGAAGGUACUAUUAUUAUUCCUGUUUUUCAAUUAAGGAUACUGAGGCACUGUGAGGUUCACUGAAAGCUGGACUGUGAGGAAGAUUCGGGCCGUCGGACUCCAGACCCCAAGCUCUAACAUACUAUGAGGGCAUCCCAGGAGAAGGCAGAGUCCAGGAGGCGGAUGUUGGGAAGCAAAUCCUGAACUCAUCAAGUCCCAUAGCCCCUUUGUCUAUGGACCUUCUGCCAGCAUCUUCUGUAAGAGUAAUGGUUCACCUAUCUCUUGCCCUGGGAGGCUGACACCUGUAGACUGCAUCUCACGCUCUCCUUGGCCAGCUAGCUUCAAGUUGAGUUCAGCUAGAAAACAACCCUGACAAGGAAAUGAGAAGGUGGGAGAGACAAGUUGGAGGAUUUCUGCCUUCCUUCCUCAAAUUCUGAAACAAUACUUCCUCCCCUAUCUUCAGCCCAAGGGAUGCUCAUGACUGCUUAGGUUUGUCAGUCUCUGGGUGCCUCGCUACCUCCUGUGUGUUUCCUAAGCCACACCCUUACCUCCAUUCAUUAAAAAAUGACUGCUUCAACGAACUUACGGGGUAGUGAUGCAUCCUGUUGACUGCCGGGAUCCAAAAAAACACUCAACUGGCUUUUUUCCAAGAAGCCUAAGCAAUACUAGGAAUUGGCCUCUUUAUGAUGACCCCAGAGUUGGAUCAGUAAUAAUAGCACUGGGAGUUAACAGUUACUGAGUGCCUGCCAUGUUCCCACGCAGUAUGCUAAGCAAUGUAUGGGAAGAAUCUCAGGAAGUAGAGGCUGAACAAGUUUCUUAAAAUAAUGGGCUACAGGGAGCAGAAACCAUUUAAAGGGCACUGACAGCCAAAGACUGUUUAUGUCCAAGGGAAGGACUCUUCAGUAAUAUGGUAAUACUCUUUUGAGUAAUAUAGUAUGGAGACUAAUAAAAUAAAAGUAAUACUAAAGGAUCCUUUAAGGGGACUGGGUAAAUGUGAACGAGAGGACUAUUUUAGCAAAAAUUCUUUCACUUAAUACUUGCUACGAAUUUACCAUUAGCUCUCAUUCCAUCUAGUGGUAAUGCCAGCACUAUUCAGCCCCACCACUUCACCUGGUGAAGACAUUAGUGUUGGAGCAAUGGUAUUUUUGCUUUAUUGAGAUAAGAUAUAAUUCACAUGCCCUAAAAUUUACCCUUUUAAAUACAGGUUCAGUGGUUUUUAGAAUAUUCACCGAAUUGUGCAACUGUCACCACUAUUGAAUUCUAGAACGUUUUCAUCAUCCCAAAAAGCAGCUCCAUACCCAUUAACCAUUACUCUUCAUUCCCUCUCCUCCAAGCCCCUCGCAAUCACUAUUUCCUGUUUCUAUGCAUUAGCCUAGUCUAACAUUUCAUAUAAGUGGACAAAGAAUACGUAGCCUCUUGUGACUGGCUACUUUCAUAUAGCAUAAUGUUUUCAAGGUUCAAGCAUGUUAUAGAUUCAGUACUUCAUUCCUUUUAAUGGUUGAACAAUAUUCCA
rnacentral:lncRNA from 1 species